rnacentral:rRNA from 1 species
UACGGAGGAUGCAAGCGUUAUCCGGAAUUAUUGGGCGUAAAGCGUCCGCAGGUGGCCGUUCAAGUCUGCUGUCAAAGACCGGGGCUUAACUUCGGAAAGGCAGUGGAAACUGAACAGCUAGAGUAUGGUAGGGGCAGAGGGAAUUCCUGGUGUAGCGGUGAAAUGCGUAGAGAUCAGGAAGAACAUCGGUGGCGAAGGCGCUCUGCUGGACCAUAACUGACACUCAGGGACGAAAGCUAGGGGAGCGAAUGGG